GAAAGACAGCCACUUCUUUAUCCAUCUAGCAUCUGACUUGUGAGUUCAGGGGUCCCACAGCCUGAGAGGAGGUGGGAACCUCCCAUCCUUCCCAGCAGGAGCCUCGAUGGCUGCACAGAGAGGGCUGGAGUAUCUGUGAGAGGCGAGGCUUUCAUUCUCUUUAUCUGAAACUGAAAAAUUAUUACUUUACUGUUCUUUUUGGCCACGAAGGUCAGAAGCCACUGGAGCUGCGCUGUGAGGAGGAGCAGGAUGGUAAAGAGUGGAUGGAGGCCAUUCACCAAGCCAGUUAUGCAGACGUUUUGAUUGAGAGGGAAGUAUUAAUGCAGAAGUACAUUCAUCUAGUUCAGAUCGUAGAGACAGAAAAAAUUGCAGCUAACCAACUCCGACAUCAACUGGAAGAUCAAGACACAGAAAUCGAAAGGCUUAAAUCAGAGAUUAUUGCUCUUAAUAAAACCAAAGAACGAAUGCGACCUUACCAAAGCAACCAAGAAGAUGAAGAUCCAGAUAUCAAGAAGAUUAAAAAGGUUCAGAGCUUCAUGCGAGGAUGG
rnacentral:sRNA from 1 species